rnacentral:pre_miRNA from 1 species
GCCGGGGAGAGGAAAAAUAUGAGCAUCUAAGGACAUGGGACAUGGGAAGAUGGAGCAAGGCCUAAACUCAUUUCUCCCUCUACAACUAGGGUGCAAUCUUUGUUUCGCAAUUUUAUCGAUGCUUCCCAUGCCUUUUGUUCUUAGGUACUCCUUCCUCUCCCUUGUAAUG